AUACAGAGGGUGCAAGCGUUAAUCGGAAUUACUGGGCGUAAAGCGCGCGUAGGCGGUUUAAUCAGUCGGAUGUGAAAGCCCCGGGCUCAACCUGGGAACUGCAUUCGAUACUGUUAAGCUAGAGUAUGGUAGAGGGAAGUGGAAUUCCAGGUGUAGCGGUGAAAUGCGUAGAUAUCUGGAGGAACAUCAGUGGCGAAGGCGACUUCCUGGACCAAUACUGACGCUGAGGUGCGAAAGCGUGGGGAGCAAACAGGAUUAGAAACCCUAGUAGUCC
rnacentral:rRNA from 1 species